rnacentral:rRNA from 1 species
GAGUUUGAUCGUGGCUCAGAUUGAACGCUGGCGGCAUGCCUUACACAUGCAAGUCGAACGGCAGCACGGGAGCUUGCUCCUGGUGGCGAGUGGCGAACGGGUGAGUAAUGCAUCGGAACGUAUCCUGGAGUGGGGGAUAACGUAGCGAAAGUUACGCUAAUACCGCAUAUUCUGUGAGCAGGAAAGCGGGGGACCUUCGGGCCUCGCGCUCUUGGAGCGGCUGAUGUCGGAUUAGCUAGUUGGUGAGGUAAAGGCUCACCAAGGCGACGAUCCGUAGCAGGUCUGAGAGGAUGAUCUGCCACACUGGAACUGAGACACGGUCCAGACUCCUACGGGAGGCAGCAGUGGGGAAUUUUGGACAAUGGGGGCAACCCUGAUCCAGCCAUGCCGCGUGAGUGAAGAAGGCC